rnacentral:rRNA from 1 species
AUCGAACGCUGGCGGCAGGCUUAACACAUGCAAGUCGAGCGGGCAUCCUUGUCUUGUCAGCGGCAGACGGGUGAGUCACGCGUGUGAACGUGCCCUUCGGUUCGGAAUAACUCAGGGAAACUUGAGCUAAUACCGGAUACGUUCGAGACCACCAGGGUUUGUCUGCCGGAGGAUCGGCCCGCGUCUGCUUAGCUAGUUGGUGAGGUUAUGGCUCCCGAAGGCGACGAUCAGUAGCUGGUCGGAGAGACUUAGCCGACACACCGGGACUGAGACACGGCCCAGACUCCUAGAGAAGGCAGGAGUGGGGAAUAUUGGAAAAUGGGGGCAACCAUGAACCAGCCCGGCCGCGUGAGUGAUGUAGGCCUUAGGGUUGUAAAGCUCUUUUCUACGGGACGAUAAUGACGGUACCGGAGGAAUAAGCCCCGGCUAACUUCGUG